UACGGAGGGGGCUAGCGUUGUUCGGAAUUACUGGGCGUAAAGCGCACGUAGGCGGCUUUGCAAGUUAGAGGUGAAAGCCCAGGGCUUAACCCUGGAAUUGCCCUUUAAAACUGCAUCGCUAGAAUUGUGGAGAGGUAAGUGGGAAUUCCCGAGUGUAGAGGUGAAAUUCGUAGAUAUUCGGAAGAACACCAGUGGCGAAGGCGACUUACUGGACACAUAUUGACGCUGAGGUGCGAAAGCGUGGGGAGCAAACAGG
rnacentral:rRNA from 1 species